AGAGUUUGAUUAUGGCUCAGGACGAACGCUGGCGGUGUGCCUCAUACAUGCAAGUCGAACGAGAAGUUACCUUCGGGUAAUGGAAAGUGGCGGACGGGUGAGUACAACAUAGGAAAUCUGCCCUAAAGCGGGGGACAACAGAGGGAAACUCCUGCUAAUACCCCAUAUGAGCUUAGUUGAAAUACUAAUCUUGAAAGAUUUAUCACUUUAGGAUGAGCCUGUGCCUGAUUAGCUGGUUGGUGGUGUAAUGGACUACCAAGGCGACGAUCAGUAGCUGGUUUGAGAGGAUGAUCAGCCACAAUGGGACUGAGACACGGCCCAUACUCCUACGGGAGGCAGCAGUAGGGAAUUUUGCGCAAUGGGGGAAACCCUGACGCAGCAACACCGCGUGAAUGUUAAGCCCUUCGGGGUGUAAAGUUCUGUCAAUAGGGAAGAAUAAAUGACUGUACCUAUAAAGGAAGCACCGGCUAACUCCGUGCCAGCCGCCGC
rnacentral:rRNA from 1 species